GUGGUGAAAUGUGAUGUGAUGCUGGCUUUGAAGACGGACUCACGAGUUAAGGGAUGCAGGCAGCCUCUGGAAGCCAGGCAAGGAAGGAAACAUUCCCCCCUCGAGGCCCGCGGAAGAGAAUCAGCCCUGCAGACACCUUGGUCCUGGCCAACUGAGUCCCGUGUGGCGAAUUUCAGACCUGUACUUGGUCUGCAAACUUGGUUUUAAUUGCCUUCAUCUAAACUUUUAUCACUUUGGGGGCCGGCCCAGUGGCGCAGCAGUUAAGUUCGCAUGUUCUGCUUUGGCAGCCCAGGGUUUGCCGGUUCGGAUCCCCGGUGCAGACAUGGCACCACUUGCCAAGCCAUGCUGGGAAUUCUCUAGGUCUCAAAGUCUUAACCUUGAUAAUGAAAUUGUUGCUUUCACAUGGGAAUUUCCUCUCCUGCUUUUAAGAAAAAGAGGAAGGUAACUCACCGAUCUGGCUAAUCCCUGGAAGCCUCAUCAUUUUCUCUUCAUCUCCACCAUGUCUGACAUUUUCUGCUUUUGAUGUCAGCAGCUUAACCAUGUGCUUUCAAUUGGGGCCAGUUGGGUUUUACAUUUUUAAAUUACUUCCAAAAUCUAUAGGGAAGUAUAUUAGUUGCUAUUAUAUUACACAUUUUAAUUAAUUUAAAGCACAUUUCUAUUAUAUCUACAAUGAAUAUAAAUAAUAAUGUGUUGUAUUUUAGACACUUUCUAGGCCUGAAUUUCAGAGAUGGCUGUCAAAGGAAAAGGAUGAAGUCAGCGCAACAAAAGUCUUUCUUAAAUCUCUGUGGAGACUUGUGUGUUUCUAACACUUUAAUGUAACUGCUGAAACCACAGUUGUCAUAUCUGGGCCUCAUCUCAGAGAUCUUCAAAAGUUCUCUUUCCUGCAAAUAUGAAUUCAGAAACAAAGAAUAUUAUUUUCCAAGUUAAAAAAAUACUUUUGAUCUACUUAAAUGUGGUUUUAAAUAAAACUUGAAAAUAUAAACUAGCACAUGAUUAUGGUAAGGUUUUUGUCUCCUGACAUUUGUUGCCAUCAGAGAGACAAAAAAGUGGCAGAGCUAAGUUGAAAGCCAAGAAUAAGUGUGCAUAAACUCAAAUAUUUUAUUUAUAUCCAAACAGCUACAAGAAUGGAGCAAACAGCAUCUAUCGCCAAUGGCUGAGAUGACAGGGGGAUAUAUUUACAACACGUGGUGACAGUAAACCUCUCAUUGCUCGAGUGUCUGACUACAUGUGUUAUAGAAAGUCACUCAAGCACUUUGGGUAAAAAUAAUCACACAUAUUACAAAGUCAGUAUAAUUAACAAGACUAAAUUUUCUUAUCCUUGACUUGUAUAAUAUUUGGGUAAUUUUUUCUAAGGUUGUGGUUUUCACAUAAUAAUAAUGGCUAGUAAAAUGUCUUACAUUUGACAACAGUAACAGGAUCAGAAGUUUCCUACAAGAAACAUCCUCAAGUGAGAGUUUAUGCUUUAAAAUUUUUUUUAUAUAAUCUGGAAGAUUUAUAUUUAGAAAGAAAGAUGUAAAUAGUUUGAAUGAAUUUCUAAAGUUCAAACAAUUAGCAUCGGGACCACAGUACAAGCUUUUUAAACGUAGGUUUUCUAAAUCACAGG
ensembl:lncRNA